UUCCGGUUUAAUCCUUCCGGAGGCUCCCGCUUUUGGAGUUUCGAUUAAACCCNUGCGAUCGAGAUUUUUAGGGACUCGGGCGUACCGUCAGUAAACACGUGGUAACCUUCCUUAUGCUGGGGAAUACCCUCGGGAAACUGAGAAUAAUGCCCCCAUAUCCACAAUGCUGAACGGUUUGUGGAUCAAAGCUCCCGGCGGCAUAGGAUGGCCUUGCGGCGUAUCAGUUGUAGGGGGUGUAACGUACCCUCUAGCCAUCAACGCGUACGGGUGUUGGGAGACAUAGCCCGGAGAUGGAUUCUGAGACACGAAUCCAGACCCUACGGGGUGCAGCAGGCGCGAAAACUUGGCAAUGCGAGAAAUCGUGACCAGGGAACUCCAAGUGGCUGGGGUAAGACCCAGUCUUUUCUUGACUCUUCAAAGGUCUUGGAAUAAGGGGUGGGUAAGGACGGUGCCAGCCGCCGCGGUAAUACCGGCGCCUCAAGUGGUAGUCGAUUUUAUUGGGCCUAAAACGUCCGUAGCCUGUUUGGUACAUUCGUGGGUAAAUCAACCAGCUCAACUGGUUGAAUUCUGCGAGCACGGCCAGACUUGGGACCGGGAGAGGUGUGGGGUACGCUCAGGGUAGGGGUAAAAUCCUGUCAUCCUGAGCGGACCACCUGUUGCGAAGGCGCCACACUAGAACGGAUCCGACGGUCAGGGACGAAGCCUAGGGGCACGAACCGGAUUAGAUACCCGGGUAGUCCUAGGUGUAAACGCUGUGGACUUGGUGUUGGGGACUCUCCGAGAUUCCUCAGUGCCGAAGCGAAGGUGAUAAGUCCACUGCCUGGGGAGUACGGUCGCAAGGCUGAAACUUAAAGGAAUUGGCGGGGGAAGCACCGCAACCUGAGGAUUGUGCCGGUUUAAUUGGAUUCACGCCGG
rnacentral:rRNA from 1 species